rnacentral:rRNA from 1 species
CCUACGGGAGGCAGCAGUAGGGAAUCUUCCACAAUGGGCGCAAGCCUGAUGGAGCAAAACCGCGUGAGUGAAGAAUGGUUUCGGCUCGUUAAGCUCCGUUGUUGGAGAAGCAUGUGCGCGAGAGUAACUGUUCACGCAGUGACGGUAUACAACAAGAACGUCACGGCUAACUACGUGCCAGCAGCCGCGGUAAUACGUAGGUGGCAAGCGUUAUCCGGAUUUAUUGGGCGUAAAGCGAGCGCAGGCGGUUGCUUAGGUCUGAUGUGAAAGCGUUCGGCUUAACCGAAGAAGUGCAUCGGAAACCGGGCGACUUGAGUGCAGAAGAGGAAUGUGGAACUCGUUGUGUAGCGGUGGAAUGCGUAGAUAUAUGGAAGAACACCGGUGGCGAAGGCAGCUGUCUGGUCUGUAACUGACGCUGAGGCUCGAAAGCAUGGGUAGCGAACAGGAUUAGAUACCCGAGUAGUC